CCUGGUGGUCAUCAAGAGCCAAGAACAACAGACAUUAGUCAAUUGGUUAUGUGGACGAAAUAACUAUGUCUGGAUUGGUCUGACUGACUCUGUUUCUGAGGGGACCUGGAAAUGGGUGGACGACACACCACUGACCAGAAAGUAUUGGAAACGUGGAGAGCCUAAUGGUGGAGCAGCAGAGAACUGUGUGUAUUUCUACUCCUGGUCAUCAGACACAGGAGAAUGGUGGGACUAUUACUAUUACUAUAAAUUCAGAUGGAUCUGUGAGAAAUAGGAUUCAUCCUCGGUACUCUCUGAACUGCUAAAUAAGAUUAUGCUAAGUACUAUCAAUGAGAAACUAUUUCCUGCUUAUUCAUUUACCUUGUCAACUACAUACAAUAUAUAACAAUACAAAUGUAGAAUACAUUAUAAUAAAACUAUAUGCAAUAACACAAUGACUUGAUAAGAGAAGGACUGUUCUGUCUGUUGUUGAGGAAAUUCACCACGAAGGACUCAAAUUCAAAGGAAAUGAAUCAAUAUUUAUUAUCACAGUCAGAGGUUCACUGACUCAAUACAAUCCUGAUGUUCAUUUUUCUUAUUUUUACUUUUUAGUUUAGUCUACUUGCUAAAUAUUUGUCUUAACUCUUCCCGAACUGCACUGUUGGUUAAGGGCUUGUAAGUCAGCAUUUCACGGUAAAGUCUACACUUGUUGUAUUCGUGGCAUGUGACAAAUAAAGUUUGAUUUGAUUUUAAGUCAUAUAAGCACGGUUGGUUCCUGCAUGAGACUGACUGAUACCACACCAGGCUUCUUACCUUGAAACUGAGAUACUCCUUUUGGUUCCCAGAGCAAUGUUCUGGGUGUACUGGGAAAAUGCUUGUACAGUGAGUGUAAGGGAUGUCGUCCUCCUCUUCUGAGGAGGAGUAGC